rnacentral:rRNA from 1 species
AUUGAACGCUGGCGGCAUGCCUUACACAUGCAAGUCGAACGGUAACAGGUCUUCGGAUGCUGACGAGUGGCGAACGGGUGAGUAAUACAUCGGAACGUGCCCGAUCGUGGGGGAUAACGGAGCGAAAGCUUUGCUAAUACCGCAUACGAUCUACGGAUGAAAGCAGGGGACCGCAAGGCCUUGCGCGGACGGAGCGGCCGAUGGCAGAUUAGGUAGUUGGUGGGAUAAAAGCUUACCAAGCCGACGAUCUGUAGCUGGUCUGAGAGGACGACCAGCCACACGGGGACUGAGACACGGCCUAGACUCCUACAGGAGGCAGCAGUGGGGAAUUUUGGACAAUGGGCGAAAGCCUGAUCCAGCCAUGCCGCGUGCAGGAUGAAGGCCUUCGGGUUGUAAACUGCUUUUGUACGGAACGAAAAGCCUCUUUCUAAUAAAGAGAGGUCAUGACGGUACCGUAAGAAUAAGCACCGGCUAACUACGUGCCAGCCGCCGCAGUAAUAC